rnacentral:piRNA from 1 species
UAUUCAAAUAAAAUAGUUCUCGA